GUGGGGUAACCCGCAAGGGGGCCAGCCGCCGAAGGUGGGGUAGAUGAUUGGGGUGAAGUCGUAACAAGGUAGCCGUAUCGGAAGGUGCGGCUGGAUCACCUCCUUUCUAUGGAGA
rnacentral:rRNA from 2 species